rnacentral:rRNA from 1 species
CCCCAGACUCCUACGGGAGGCAGCAGUGGGGAAUAUUGCACAAUGGGGGAAACCCUGAUGCAGCGACGCCGCGUGAGUGAAGAAGUAUUUCGGUAUGUAAAGCUCUAUCAGCAGGGAAGAAAAUGACGGUACCUGACUAAGAAGCCCCGGCUAACUACGUGCCAGCAGCCGCGGUAAUACGUAGGGGGCAAGCGUUAUCCGGAUUUACUGGGUGUAAAGGGAGCGUAGACGGCAUGGCAAGUCAGAUGUGAAAGCCCGGGGCUCAACCCCGGGACUGCAUUUGAAACUGUCAGGCUGGAGUGCAGGAGAGGUAAGUGGAAUUCCUAGUGUAGCGGUGAAAUGCGUAGAUAUUAGGAGGAACACCAGUGGCGAAGGCGGCUUACUGGACUGUAACUGACGUUGAGGCUCGAAAGCGUGGGGAGCAAACAGGAUUAGAUACCCCUGUA